rnacentral:rRNA from 1 species
UGGAUUAGCGGCGGACGGGUGAGUAACACGUGAGUAACCUGCCUUAGACAUUGGGAUAGCCUCGGGAAACCGGGAUUAAUACCAAAUAAAAUCAUAAUGACACAUGUCAUAACGAUCAAAACUCCGGUGGUCUAAGAUGGACUCGCGUCCCAUUAGCUAGUUGGUAGAGUAAAAGCCUACCAAGGCGACGAUGGGUAGCCGGCCUGAGAGGGUGAACGGCCACAUUGGGACUGAGAAACGGUCCAA